AGUGAACGCUGGCGGUAGGCCUAACACAUGCAAGUCGAACGGCAGCACAGGAGAGCUUGCUCUCUGGGUGGCGAGUGGCGGACGGGUGAGGAAUGCAUCGGAAUCUACUCUUUCGUGGGGGAUAACGUAGGGAAACUUACGCUAAUACCGCAUACGACCUACGGGUGAAAGCCGGGGACCUUCGGGCCUGGCGCGAAUGAAUGAGCCGAUGCCCGAUUAGCUAGUUGGCGGGGUAAGAGCCCACCAAGGCGACGAUCGGUAGCUGGUCUGAGAGGAUGAUCAGCCACACUGGAACUGAGACACGGUCCAGACUCCUACGGGAGGCAGCAGUGGGGAAUAUUGGACAAUGGGCGCAAGCCUGAUCCAGCCAUACCGCGUGGGUGAAGAAGGCCUUCGGGCUGUAAAGCCCUUUUGUUGGGAAAGAAAAGCAGCUGGUUAAUACCCGGUUGUUCUGACGGUACCCAAAGAAUAAGCACCGGCUAACUUCGUG
rnacentral:rRNA from 1 species